rnacentral:rRNA from 1 species
GACGAACGCUGGCGGCGUGCUUAACACAUGCAAGUUGAACGAGAAUUUUUCGAGUGAUUUCUUCGGAAUGAUCAUGAAAACGGAAAGUAGCGAACGGGUGAGUAACACGUGAGAAACCUGCCUUUCACAAAGGGAUAGCCUAGGGAAACCGGGAUUAAUACCUUAUGAAACCAAACACUCGCAUGAGAGAUUGGUUAAAGAUUUAUCGGUGUUAGAUGGUCUCGCGUCUGAUUAGCUAGUUGGUGGGAUAAAAGCCUACCAAGGCAACGAUCAGUAGCCGGAUUGAGAGGCUGAACGGCCACACUGGAACUGAGACACGGUCCAGACUCCUACGGGAGGCAGCAGUGGGGAAUUUUGCACAAUGGAGGAAACUCUGAUGCAGCGACGCCGCGUGAGUGAUGAAGGUCUUCGGAUUGUAAAACUCUGUCCUUAGUGAAGAUAAUGACAGUAACUAAGAAGCAAGCCCUGGCUAAAUACGUG